rnacentral:rRNA from 1 species
UACGUAGGGGGCAAGCGUUGUCCGGAAUCAUUGGGCGUAAAGAGCGUGUAGGCGGCCAGAAAAGUCCGCUGUGAAAACUCGAGGCUCAACUUCGAGCUGUCGGUGGAAACUUUCUGGCUAGAGUCCGGAAGAGGAGAAUGGAAUUCCUGGUGUAGCGGUGCAAUGCGCAGAUAUCAGGAAGAACACCCGUGGCGAAGGCGGUUCUCUGGGACGGUACUGACGCUGAGACGCGAAAGCGUGGGGAGCGAACAGG